rnacentral:lncRNA from 1 species
GAGCCGGGGAAGCGGCGGAAGAUGGCUGCAGUUGUAGCAAUGGACACCCAGCUGAUGCUCGGAGUCGGGCUGAUCGAAAAGGACACUAAUGGAGAAGUUCUGUGGGUGUGGUGUUAUCCUUCCACGACAGCCUCACUAAGGAAUCUGCUGCUCCGAAAAUGCUGCCUAACUGAUGAAAACAAACUUCUCCACCCUUUUGUCUUUGGUCAGUACAGAAGAACAUGGUUUUAUGUCACUACAGUUGAAGUUCCAGAUUCUUCAGUUUUGAAAAAGGUGACUCAUUUUUCUAUUGUUCUGACCGCCAAAGAUUUUAACCCAGAGAAAUAUGCCGCCUUCACUAGGAUAUUGUGUAGAAUAUAUUUGAAAUAUGGAAGUCCAGUUAAAAUGAUGGAAAGUUACAUUGCAGUUCUCACCAAGGGGAUCUGCCAGAGUGAAGAAAAUGGCUCCUUCCUUAGCAGAGACUUUGAUGGUCGAAAGGCGUACCUCGCCGGCUCCAUCAAAGACAUUGUAUCUCAAUUUGGAAUGGAAACUAUUAUCUUACACACAGCGUUGAUGCUGAAAAAACGAAUUGUUGUCUAUCACCCCAAAAUAGAAGCUGUUCAGGAGUUCACCAGGUACUCU